GAUGAACGCUGGCGGCAUCCUUAACACAUGCAAGUCGAACGGGAAGUGGUGUUUCCAGUGGCGAACGGGUGAGUAACGCGUAAGAACCUGCCCUUGGGAGGGGAACAACAACUGGAAACGGUUGCUAAUACCCCGUAGGCUGAGGAGCAAAAGGAGAAAUCCGCCCAAGGAGGGGCUCGCGUCUGAUUAGCUAGUUGGUGAGGUAAUAGCUUACCAAGGCGAUGAUCAGUAGCUGGUCCGAGAGGAUGAUCAGCCACACUGGGACUGAGACACGGCCCAGACUCCUACGGGAGGCAGCAGUGGGGAAUUUUCCGCAAUGGGCGAAAGCCUGACGGAGCAAUGCCGCGUGGAGGUGGAAGGCCUACGGGUCGUCAACUUCUUUUCUCGGAGAAGAAACAAUGACGGUAUCUGAGGAAUAAGCAUCGGCUAACUCUGUG
rnacentral:rRNA from 1 species